rnacentral:rRNA from 1 species
CUGACGAGUGGCGGACGGGUGAGUAAUGCUUGGGAAUCUGGCUUAUGGAGGGGGAUAACGACGGGAAACUGUCGCUAAUACCGCGUAAUAUCGAAAGAUUAAAGUGUGGGACCUUCGGGCCACAUGCCAUAGGAUGAGCCCAAGUGGGAUUAGGUAGUUGGUGGGGUAAAGGCCUACCAAGCCUGCGAUCUCUAGCUGGUCUGAGAGGAUGACCAGCCACACUGGAACUGAGACACGGUCCAGACUCCUACGGGAGGCAGCAGUGGGGAAUAUUGCGCAAUGGGGGGAACCCUGACGCAGCCAUGCCGCGUGAAUGAAGAAGGCCUUAGGGUUGUAAAGUUCUUUCGGUAUUGAGGAAGGUUGAUGUGUUAAUAGCACAUCAAAUUGACGUUAAAUACAGAAGAAGCACCGGCUAACUCCGUGCCAGCAGCCGCGGUAAUACGGAGGGUGCGAGCGUUAAUCGGAAUAACUGGGCGUAAAGGGCACGCAGGCGGUUAUUUAAGUGAGGUGUGAAAGCCCCGGGCUUAACCUGGGAAUUGCAUUUCAGACUGGGUAACUAGAGUACUUUAGGGAGGGGUAGAAUUCCACGUGUAGCGGU